UGGGCAUUUUAUUGCAUGUCAAAAAAAUGUGAACAAAGCUGAAAAUGGACAAAAUACCACAGCAAAUGACAUCCAGCCAUAAGGAGAUGGAUUUAGGUAGAAGGAAGAAUUCUUUAACACAGACUAUGGGUCUCCGAGGGAAAUACUAUCUGGUAAUUUUCUCACUUUGGGGUGUGUUUAAACCGUAGGACAAGGAGUGAACCCUAAAAUCUGGUGAGAGUCUGUGAAACACACCAGGAACCCACGCGCAGAACGUCACAUCCUGUCAGUCACCCGAAGGGCCAUCUCCGUCCCCGCCAGUCCGAGGGCCUCCCCCAAGGGAGGGGCGUGCUCCCCGCCACGCGGCUUCUGCUGGUGCACGGCCCCUCCCUGAACUCCCUACCUGAGCCUCUCUUGCCUGGACUAUUUGGAAAGUCUACACGUGGAAGAAGGGUGGUCCCACUGAGUCACGUCCGCCCAAGGGAACUGCCCAGGAGCCAUGGAAGCAACCACAAAGUGAGCCUCUCAGACGCGGCUGAAAGGAAGCCAGGCACAAAGGGGAAGAAACCAAGGCUCCAGGUUCCGCUGCCAGGGCAUGAAUGGGAGCGUGGUCAGGACGGGGCUCCUGGACCACAAGCCUCAUGGGAACCCCGAGGAAUGCAGGUUCUUGGGCCCCUCUGGCCCUGAUGGAUCAGAUGCUGGUGAUGGCUCAGGGUCCCCAUAGGCCCUCCAGGGAACUCUGACCUGGGAAGUGGAGCAGCCCUGACUUGGAGGCACCGCCAGAUUCCAGGGAGGCUCCUGGGGGCCUCCAAGCCUUGCGCAGACCCAAGGCCACCUUGCCACCAUGGCCACAGCCCAGUGCUGGCUGCCGGGCAGCAAACCUGCAGAAAUGCAUAAACGCACCAGAGACAUCCGCCCUGAGCCCAGGGCUCCUCCUGGGCCCAACAUUCUGUCCAGGUAAGGCCACGUUCUGGCCGCUGCUCCCAGGCUUGGCAAGAUUGCAACCCCCACAGCCUCCCACUCUGGGACAGCCUGAGGGCAGUGUUGCAGGCCCAGGACCCUCGGGCAGAACGGAAUGUGGCUUUUCCAUUGGCGCUGGCCUGUGUGGCACUCACAGGUACGGCAGAUGGCCUUGCCGGUCUGGGACUCCGGGGACUGUGGGAGAAAGGCCCACUGGCAGGGCUGCCCAGGGCUGCCCAGGGCUGCCAGGAUGUGAACCAGCUGCGUGGCACUGUGGGUCACCUAGGGUGGCCCUGCCUGGUCUGAGAAUGGGCAGUCCGUCACAGCACCACUCACUCCCGGCCACCAGCACUGCACAGGCCAGGCUUUUGCUGCACAUGGCACCUCCCUGCCCAGUCCUGGCCCGAGUGCCUGGGAAACAGGGCACUGUGUACCCGAACACACUCAGACCCGUCCAGGCCCCCGGGAGAAGCGGCAGGCAAUGACGUGGUCCCUGAAAAGCCGAGCGCAUGCUUACGGGGUCUGUCUUUUCCUCCACGCCCCGCCAGGCUCCUGAGGCCGCCGAGUGAGCAGCAGGACCUGGGAGGUUUGCGCGCAGGAUGAGGCCGUGGACAGACAGGCUUUACCACCAGCGGCCACCAUCACCUGCUCUGCAGGGCCUGGGCCAGCCCUGAGAGGGGCGGACGGAAGGAGAGGCAGCAGUGCCCGGGGCUGGUUUACCGUCUUCCAGACACCAGCUCAGGGACAGCGGGUGUGUAUCACCGAGGACCAGGGGCGCACCCCAAGGCUGCACUGUGUCUGCACGCGGCCUGGGGGCCUGUGAGGCCAGACUGCAGGGCAGGGGCCCGCGGCCGUGCCAGCCUCCCUCCUGGGUCGUGACGGUUUUCCUCCUCACUCUGCAGAGCGUCCGCUGCUGGAGCCCGACGGCUCUGGCCGGCGCAGUCAGGACUUAGCUUCCCAGCCAUGGCUGGAAUCCCAGCCUCCCAAAGGCGCAGCUCCUGACCUCUCCCCUGCCAAGCUCACAGUCUUCUCCUUGGCAGGCAGCCCUUUCUCCUGCUGGACCCAACCAAGGGGCACGGUGACCCAGGGAUGGCGCACUCGGCGUCAGCCUCCAAGGCCUCGGAGCCACGCAGACCCAGCGCAGGAUUAGAAACAGACCUCCCGGAAGGCGGAGGGCCAGACCUCCUGGUUUACGGGCGUGACCAGGCCGCGCUCAGGAGAGCGCCUCAGUCCUCCUCCAUGUCAGCUUGCACGACCGUCACCACCGGUGAGGUGCACGUGCUUGUGCUUCCAUUGCAGCGAUGAGGAAACUGAGGCCAAGGGAGGGCCAACAAGCUGCCCUGGGCUUGCUGGUGAUGCACUCGGGGGGCCUGGGAUGGGUGGGGUGGCGGCACCCCUGGAAGUCCCUGGGAACCUGCACCAACCCCCAGGCCCCGCUCCCCUCUCUCGCAGGACCCCUGGGCCCGGCGUUUCUUCACCUCUGACCGUUCGGGAGCUGGGCCCGCCCCAGGGCGUCAGUUUCCAGGGAAGCCUCUGCCUGUCUGGGAGCACCCCCAUCUGCUGGGCCGCGGCCUUCACACGUGCCCUGCGUAGCCCCCGCCCCUCUUAGGGCAAAGCCUCCAUGAAGACUUUCGUCUCUGGCUCAUCCCUUUAAGGAGCCGUAAAAACGAGCCCCCCACCUCACGGGUCUGGAAUGUGUUCCCUCCACGGUGGGAGCUUGUUGGAUGCGGCUGUGCUGGGCGGGGGCUCCAGGGCCUGGCCAGGUGGGCAGCCGUGCUGCGUGAGCGCUGCCCAGGAAGAUGCGAUGAACAGUCGUCGCUUAAAAGGAUAAGCAGAAAUUCCAUUUCCCUUGUACAUACUUGAGUAUUUCAAAACAUCUGGAGGAUGCGCUGCUUUUCCCUCCAAGCAUCUCCGUGGAGUUUUGUGGGGUACCGCGGAGGACCCGGCAUUCCUCUCGGGGAAAACUGGCCUGAGCGUUGCAUAAUGCAGGCAGGCUGCCCGCUCACGUCGCCAGGGGGCUGCGUGCCUGUGUUUCCAGGAGACUUGCUGGAACGUCUUCCCUGGAUCUUGUCAAAGUUGGAUGUGGAAAGCAGCUUGGUCCAUCCAAGGUCCACAGAGUGACCUGCCAGGGAGCCCGUCGGCCGGGAGUGAGGCGACACCGCGCUUGGCCUCAGGAGCUGGAACCGCCGGGGAACUCAGACGUGCCAAGCCUUCUGCCUUAGUCACAGUUAGUCAUUAUUCUUGGUCCUAGUGGAGCAGGAAUGACUGCCAUGUGGCGGGCAGGCAAGAUUCACUUUCGGAAGGAUCCCUGUGUAGACAGGUGCUCUGUCAGAGCAGUCGUGGGGAGCGUGGGGUGUGUGGAGCCUGGCACCGGGCUGACCCUGCCUUCCAAGCAUCCACGCGGCCUUCAGCAGGACAGGAGAAAGCCCAGGACUUGUACUGUGACGUCCCAGACCUAAGAAAUCCAAACCCGAGAUGGAAAGGAGGGUGGAGAGAGUGGGGCCGCCGGACUGGCCGUCCCGAGAAGCCUCAGCUGCAGCAAGUGAGGCUUUGCGGGCUGCCCCACAGGCCUGGUGGCUGCUCCCGGGGCAGGGCGGGGAGCGGCGUCCCCAGCGAGCAGCCUGCCCCACACAUGAAGGUACCCACACACUUAGCCCCUUGCUAAGAGUUCCACUGGCCAGAGCUCUGUCCGAGUCCAGGGCUCCACUCAAGGGACUGCUGUCCCCGCUGUGAAGAAGGCCCGUCAGGGCAAAUGUUCUUCUCCACAGGGAAGCAGAGUCACCUUUUGUCAGACAGAACUUUGUGAGCCUGACACAGCUGGUAGUGGCCCCAGAUCCAACAUCUGACCCCAGAGCUGAAGGGCACAGAGAAGGCACAGCUAGAGAUGGCAGGUGCCCCUUGAAGCUCUGGGGAGAGGGUACCAGGCGGAAUCUCCCAGCACCCUUGGCCUCUAGGCUGAUCUGGCCUCAAAAGCCCCAAGAGGGCUGGAUACAAGGAGACAAAGCCAGAAAGGACGGGAGGUGGGUGGCUAAGGAGACAGGCUGGACAGCGGCGGGGGAGGCAGGUGGCUUUGCUAUAAACAAUCGUCUCAGUAACGUGGCACUGCCCUUGUGUGGGCAGGUUCACACAUAGGCAUAACCUCUUCUAAAACACACUGUUUAUGGAGGCGAAGUUUGCUUAACAGCCAUUUUAAAGCAUAUACUUCACAGGCUGUGCUGGAUUCACGACGCGCAACUUCUGCUUCUCUGGUUUCAGAACGUUUUUGUCUCUCCAGAGCAAAGCGUCGUACCGGUUAAGUAACCACACCUCAUUCCUUCCCCAGCUCUGGAAACCACAGAUCCACUUUCUGUCUCCGUGGGUGUGUCUGUUUGGGAUAUUUCAUUUAAAAGGAAUCACGCAGCACGUGAACGUGUGUGUCUCACUUCUUUCAGUGAAAGUCACAUUUCCGAGGCUCAUCCGAGCGGCGGUGUGUCUCAC
rnacentral:lncRNA from 1 species